GGCGUCCUCAAAUGCCGUUGCAGUCACCAAUACGCGCAGCGCACAUUGCGACAGUCUAAUCCGUAGACGCACCGAAGGGAUCCUGUCUGUUGGCUAAAGCUUACUGACGCUGCAUUUAAAGCACGGGAGAAUAAGCGUCCCCUCCGCUUGUUUGAUGACAGCGAGUGUCCUCAUUGUCUCGGUUGGCCCUUGUUACCUCGUUUCUGGAAGAGUCUGUGGAGCAAGAGGUCGGGCUCCUGGGUGAACGCCACCGUUCCGGUCACUGUAGAACAGUUGAGGGCGUUGACUUUGGCUCUUUGGGGUCUUUGGGAGCCCAGCCCGAGGGCAUUCAGGCAGAUGCCGGGGGUCAUUGGCAUGUGAAAGAGGAUCACUGGAUGCAGGACAACAACAGUACUGUGGUGUGUACAUUCAGGGGGGCAGAUUUAUGUAGAGAUUGAAAGGACUGUAGAAAGACAGAUUGAAGUGAGGGACUUAUGCACACACAUAUGCAACUUUCUAUUACAAAUAAAAAUAACCUCCAAUAAUAAUUGCGUUAUGAAACACCAUUCCUGCUUCCACUUAUCUUUACGGGAAAAAAAAUCAGGAUUAAAUACAAUAAAAUAUUUUACGUUAACCCCCCAUGGCAAAAAAUUAUGAAAUCACCACACGGAUGUUCACCCAAAGUUCUGACUUUAUAACAAAUGAACAAAAUCACAGAUAUGACACAAAACUAUUUUUGCUUGAUAAUUCAACACUUUAUGUGAAUCAUACAGUAACUCAAAAUUUUUUAUUAAAACAUUUUAAUAAAUGGAAAAUUGUUUUCCAUAUCAAGUAGAGGAAAAAAUUAUGGAAUCCGCUUGUAAUUUGCAUUUCUGAAAUAAAUACUGGAACAUAUCUAAAAAGCGAAUUAGUCAGCAGUUAACAAUGUAGAGUUCACAGUAGUUAAAACUGAUGUUAAAAUAGCUAAAAUAGCCAACAUCAACACAUAAAACGAACAGGGGAGACGGCUCGCCACACACACAGGCGCCAUCUUGAUUCUUCAAGGUUAAGUAUGUAAUCUAGUUAAUUAUGAGUGCUUGCAGACCCUAACGAGCUGUUGGACUUGGCUAAUUGAAAGGAAACAUGGCCCCAACAAGAGAGCUGUCGGUUGAAACAAUGGAAAAAGAUUAUAAAACUCCUUUAAGAAGGAAAUCCAUCACGGAGUGUGGCAAAAGAUUGUGGAUGUUCCCAGUCAGCUGUUUCUAAAAUUUGGUGCAAGUAUAAACAAAAUGGAAAGGUUACACAUGGACAACAUACAGGCAAGCUAAGAAAGACCUCAAAGCAUCAGGUUAGAAAAGCAAUUUGCCUUUGAAAGAGAAAAUGCACAACGAAAAACAAAUGGGCGGAAACAGGAGUCAAUGCGUGUGACAGAACUGUACGAAAUCGGCUGAAUGAAAUGGGAUUUAAAUAUAGAAAAGCCAAACAAAAAACAGCAUGAACAACUAAACAGAAGAAAACAGUGGGCUAAAGAGAAGCAGGCAUGGAGUGUGGAUGAUUGGAUGAAAGUGAUAUUUUGUGAUUAAUCACAAAUCUGCAUUGGACAGGGAGAUAAUGCUGGAACUUUUGUCUGGUGCCGUUCCAAUGAAAUGUAUAAAGAUGACCUCCUGAAGAAAACAACUAAAUUUCCGAACUCAUUCACGGUAUGAGGUUGCAUGUCAGGUAAAGGACCAGGGGAAAUGGCAAUGCUUACCUCAACAGUCAAUGCACAAGUGCACACUGAAAUUUUGGACACUUUUCUCAAAAGAAAUGAAAAGAGCAAUGAAAUCAAUAGAAAAGAUGUUUGCUGAUAAUAAAGUAAUUGUUUAGGAUGAUAAUGCAUCUUGCCACAGAGCACAGUGUUAAAGCUUUUCUUCAGGAAAGGCAUAUCAGCUCAAUGACAUGGCCAGCAAAAAGUCUGAAUCUCAAUCUGAUUUUAAAUUUAUGGUGGAAAUUGAAAAAACUGGUCCAUGACAAGGCUCCAUCUUGCAAAGCUGAUCUGUCAACAAUUAUUCGACAAAGUUGGAACCAACUUGAUGAAGAAAAUUGUUUUUCAUUAGUGAAAUCCAUGCCCCCAAAGAACUCAAGCCGUCAUAAAAGCAAGAGGAGGAGCAACAAAGUCCUAACUCUGUUUUGGGAGAUUAGUCCAUAUUUUUUUCCUCUACUUGAUAUGGAAAAAUGUUUUCAUUCAUUUAAAGUUUAUUAUCUUUAUUUAUUUAUUUUUGGGGGGUAUGUUUCACAUUACCAGAAUGUUUAAUUACUAAUCAAAUAUUGUUUUGAUUAGUAAUUAAAAAUUAGUAAUUAAUGUGUAAUAUCGGUCAUUUGUUGUAUUGUAAAAAAUUUGGGUAAACAACAUCUAAAUGUGGUGAUUCCAUCAUUUUUGCCAGGGGUUGUAAAACCUGCGUAACACAAAUUUUGAAACAAUGUUGUUUGACUCUUCAAAUUUACUAAAAAAUCUCAGGCAAAUAAAACAAUUUCAAGUAUGAACAAACAAAAAGACACUGAAAUAGAUUUUUUUUUUUCUUGUUCUUUCACAAUGUGCCCUUCUGUUUUACUUUCUAGUAGCACAUUGUCAACUAUUGUUCAGAUUUUACUCAAGGGCAUACAGUGUAAACAAGGCUGUUUUACUCUUGGCUGACUGUAGCUUUGAAGUGCAGUACUUGGUGUGCAACAAUGCAAGAAUUGGUUUAAUAAAUGCAUUUUAUAGCUGAAGUUUUGGUUGAGUUUGCGACUCCUGACUGGGAGGCUUUUGUUCUAAAGAUUUUUAUUUAUUUAUUUUUCCUCAAUUUUUGGAUGACGUCCUAUACUGACGUCAUGUUUUUUUUCCCUCUCCCUCUUAUUCUUACCAGUCUCUUCUUAAAAUUCCUGGCCUUUACAUCUUUCGUUUGUUUUUGCCCUUCUGUUCUCUCUCCCCAUCUGUCUUUUACAGGUUUAGAUUCUGUUGUCUUCUCUUCUUUUUUACUCCAUUCCUCAUCUUUAUUUUCUUCAGCUCUUUUUCUUUUCAGCUCUCCAUCUGGGCCUGAUUAAGUGAGUGAGUGAAUCAUAUCAAUCAGAAUUCAUUUGUGCAUGAGCCAUACCUGUAUUGAUCUGCUGUUGUUAAAUCAACAUUCCUGACUGCCAUUUCUGUCUCUGCCUUGUAUUCCUGACAGCAACUGUGCAGUCGAAGGAAAAGAUCUUCCAAGAUGUCUGAAGAGUCACGCACCAAGAACGAACAUAGAGAAACUGGCAUUUCUUUUGGCCUUUAAUCAAACUGUAGUAGCAGUUCUAUAAAAGGCUGUACAAUACUACACAUUAAAUACAUAUUACCUAUAUGAAAAUGUGCAUUUAAAACUGCAAAAAGAAAUAAAAUGGCAAUUAAAGAAAUAAUAUUAA